rnacentral:rRNA from 1 species
CAAGCCUCACGGGCAAUUAGUACUGGUUAGCUUAACGUAUUACUACGCUUCCACACCCAGCCUAUCAACGUCCUGGUCUCGAACGACCCUUUAGGGGAAUCUAGUUCCCGGGAAAUAUCAUCUUAAGGCAAGUUUCCCGCUUAGAUGCUUUCAGCGGUUAUCUCUUCCGAACUUAGCUACCCGGCAAUGCCACUGGCGUGACAACCGGUACACCAGAGGUUCGUCCACUCCGGUCCUCUCGUACUAGGAGCAGCCCCCUUCAAAUUUCCAACGCCCACGGCAGAUAGGGACCAAACUGUCUCACGACGUUUUAAACCCAGCUCACGUACCACUUUAAAUGGCGAACAGCCAUACCCUUGGGACCGGCUACAGCCCCAGGAUGUGAUGAGCCGACAUCGAGGUGCCAAACUCCCCCGUCGAUAUGAACUCUUGGGAGGAAUCAGCCUGUUAUCCCCAGAGUACCUUUUAUCCGUUGAGCGAUGGCCCUUCCAUACAGAACCACCGGAUCACUAUGUCCUACUUUCGUACCUGCUCGACUUGUCAGUCUCGCAGUUAAGCACGCUUAUGCCAUUGCACUAUUAGCACGAUGUCCGACCGUACCUAGCGUACCUUCGAACUCCUCCGUUACACUUUGGGAGGAGACCGCCCCAGUCAAACUGCCUACCAUGCACUGUCCCCGAUCCGGAUAACGGACCAAGGUUAGAACCUCAAACAAACCAGGGUGGUAUUUCAAGGUUGGCUCCACGAGAACUAGCGUCCCCGCUUCAAAGCCUCCCACCUAUCCUACACAGAUUGGUUCAAAGUCCAAUGCAAAGCUACAGUAAAGGUUCAUGGGGUCUUUCCGUCUAGCCGCGGGUAGAUUGCAUCAUCACAAACAUUUCAACUUCGCUGAGUCUCGGGAGGAGACAGUGUGGCCAUCGUUACGCCAUUCGUGCAGGUCGGAACUUACCCGACAAGGAAUUUCGCUACCUUAGGACCGUUAUAGUUACGGCCGCCGUUUACUGGGACUUCAAUCAAGAGCUUGCACCCCAUCAUUUAAUCUUCCAGCACCGGGCAGGCGUCACACCCUAUACGUCCACUUUCGUGUUUGCAGAGUGCUGUGUUUUUAUUAAACAGUCGCAGCCACCUUUUUAUUGCAGCCCUUUCGUCCUUCUGGCGCAGGCCAGUCAAACUACAUGGGCGUACCUUAUCCCGAAGUUACGGUACAAAUUUGCCGAGUUCCUUCUCCCGAGUUCUCUCAAGCGCCUUAGAAUACUCAUCUCGCCCACCUGUGUCGGUUUGCGGUACGGUCUCGUUAGACUGAAGCUUAGAGGCUUUUCUUGGAACCACUUCCGAUUGCUUCACCAAUAAAUUGGCUCGUCCCAUACCCUUGAAUUACGCUGCCGGAUUUGCCUAACAGCCUUCUCUGAUAUAGGAACCGGGACUUCCAACACCCGGACAACCUUCCGCGAUCCGUCCCCCCAUCGCAUCUAACGACGGUGCAGGAAUAUUAACCUGCUUCCCAUCAGCUACGCAUCUCUGCCUCGCCUUAGGGGCCGACUCACCCUGCUCCGAUGAACGUUGAACAGGAAACCUUGGGCUUACGGCGUGGGGGCUUUUCACCCCCAUUAUCGCUACUCAUGUCAGCAUUCGCACUUCUGAUACCUCCAGCAUCCUUUACAAGACACCUUCGCAGGCUUACAGAACGCUCUCCUACCAU